AUACAUCACCCUGUAUCAAAAAAGAAAAAAAAAAUACAGUAAAGAUUAGUAUGGCCCCUGUCCAAGGAUGACACACAAAUUUGUAAAAUGUUUCAUAGUUUU